rnacentral:rRNA from 1 species
AUUGAACGCUGGCGGCAGGCCUAACACAUGCAAGUCGAGCGGAUGAAGGGAGCUUGCUCCUGGAUUCAGCGGCGGACGGGUGUGUAAUGCCUAGGAAUCUGCCUGGUAGUGGGGGAUAACGUCCGGAAACGGGCGCUGAUACCGCAUACGUCCUGAGGGAGAAAGUGGGGGAUCUUCGGACCUCACGCUAUCAGAUGAGCCUAGGUCGGAUUAGCUAGUUGGUGGGGUAAAGGCCUACCAAGGCGACGAUCCGUAACUGGUCUGAGAGGAUGAUCAGUCACACUGGAACUGAGACACGGUCCAGACUCCUACGGGAGGCAGCAGUGGGGAAUAUUGGACAAUGGGCGAAAGCCUGAUCCAGCCAUGCCGCGUGUGUGAAGAAGGUCUUCGGAUUGUAAAGCACUUUAAGUUGGGAGGAAGGGCAGUAAGUUAAUACCUUGCUGUUUUGACGUUACCAACAGAAUAAGCACCGGCUAACUUCGUG